AGUGAACGCUGGCGGUAGGCCUAACACAUGCAAGUCGAACGGCAGCACAGGAGAGCUUGCUCUCUGGGUGGCGAGUGGCGGACGGGUGAGGAAUACAUCGGAAUCUACUCUGUCGUGGGGGAUAACGUAGGGAAACUUACGCUAAUACCGCAUACGACCUACGGGUGAAAGCAGGGGACCUUCGGGCCUUGCGCGAUUGAAUGAGCCGAUGUCGGAUUAGCUAGUUGGCGGGGUAAAGGCCCACCAAGGCGACGAUCCGUAGCUGGUCUGAGAGGAGGAUCAGCCACACUGGAACGGAGACACGGUCCAGACUCCUACGGGAGGAAGCAGUGGGGAAUAUUGGACAAUGGGCGCAAGCCUGAUCCAGCCGUACCGCGUGGGUGAAGAAGGCCUUCGGGUUGUAAAGCCCUUUUGUUGGGAAAGAAAUCCAGCUGGCCAAUACCCGGUUGGGAUGACGGUACCCAAAGAAUAAGCACCGGCUAACUUCGUGCCAGCAGCCGCCGUAA
rnacentral:rRNA from 1 species